rnacentral:rRNA from 1 species
AUACGGAGGGUGCAAGCGUUAUCCGGAAUCAUUGGGUUUAAAGGGUCCGUAGGCGGACUAUUAAGUCAGAGGUGAAAUCCCACAGCUCAACUGUGGAACUGCCUUUGAUACUGGUAGUCUUGAGUUAUAUGGAAGUAGAUAGAAUGUGUAGUGUAGCGGUGAAAUGCAUAGAUAUUACACAGAAUACCGAUUGCGAAGGCAGUCUACUACGUAUAUACUGACGCUAAGGGACGAGAGCGUGGGGAGCGAACAGGAUUAGAAACCCUAGUAGUCC